AGUGAACGCUGGCGGUAGGCCUAACACAUGCAAGUCGAGCGGCAGCACAGUAAGAGCUUGCUCUUACGGGUGGCGAGUGGCGGACGGGUGAGGAAUACAUCGGAAUCUACUUUUUCGUGGGGGAUAACGUAGGGAAACUUACGCUAAUACCGCAUACGACCUACGGGUGAAAGCAGGGGAUCUUCGGACCUUGCGCGAUUGAAUGAGCCGAUGUCGGAUUAGCUAGUUGGCGGGGUAAAGGCCCACCAAGGCGACGAUCCGUAGCUGGUCUGAGAGGAUGAUCAGCCACACUGGAACUGAGACACGGUCCAGACUCCUACGGGAGGCAGCAGUGGGGAAUAUUGGACAAUGGGCGCAAGCCUGAUCCAGCCAUACCGCGUGGGUGAAGAAGGCCUUCGGGUUGUAAAGCCCUUUUGUUGGGAAAGAAAAGCAGCAGGUUAAUACCCCGCUGUUCUGACAGUACCCAAAGAAUAAGCACCGGCUAACUUCGUG
rnacentral:rRNA from 1 species